CCAGUGAGAGUGAGGCGGAGUCUGAAGAUCAUGUGACUCUCUCCUGUGUCCUUCACACUGGCUUUGACUGUGACCUGUCGACUGUGCAUCCGGAUUUUAACCUCAGCUGGGUGGAGGUGGAAGGGACUAACCUGUGGACCUCCACCAAUUACCAGAUCAAGAAAACAUCUGCCUGCAGCACCACCCUGACUGUCAAUCUCACAAGUCCCGCCCCUUACAGCCAGCGGAGGUGCCAGGUGACUACAGGAGGUCAAGUGCAGGCGUCUUCUGCCCUCUACACCUUUGGAUCCUUUCUAGCAGAUGUCUACAUGGUUGUGAGAUGGGCUGUUGUUUUGCUUCUGCUCGUCUGCGCCAUCACACUUGAAAUAAUCUGGAGGAGACGGAGAUCAAUGCUUAAAUAUGGACAAGGAGCACCUGCAAUUCAGCAAGAGGAUGAGCAAGAGGCAGAUGAUCAACCAUCUACUUCAAUCACCCAAGAA